CAAAAGUAGUAGAACUGACCUACUGGCACAGAAUGUUUUGGUUGCCUCAUAACUCUGUGAUGCCACAGACGCACUCCAAACUCCCAGAACAAGUUACCAAGCCCCAGAAAGCUGCCAAGGAAGGCUCUGAAGAUGAAAGGCUUGUGGAUUUUAUUUUCAAAGGAAAUUAUUAUUUUCAUGCUGCUAUAGACUAACAAAGUGGCCCACUCAGUAGAAUAACCCCACCACCACUGAGUAGGAUACAGACACUUCAAAGUGUCCUUCCUCUGUGCAUACAUUUCCAAUAUGAGGCUCUUCCAGGAAAUGCAGCUGCAUCUGGUGUCCAGUGAACAAAGGCUUGAGGAGCACUCCUUUUCCAGCUACUUGGACAUAAGGAUUUGCUGUGUUCUCCCAUGAAAGACUGCUUCAUGACAGCUCUGUGUGUCUCUAUUACUUCAAGUCUAGAUUUACUGUGUUUUCCUCCAAAGAGGACUGUAUUCGUAGAACAAACUUUAAAGAGCAAA
rnacentral:lncRNA from 1 species